GGGUGGGGAAGCAGGGCUGGCUGCUGUUCUGUAGUGAGGCCCUGUGGCUAACUGCGUGUGUGGGAAGCUGUGCUACAACUCAUACGCUGGAUAACCGAGCUUCCUCCCGAGGAGGGUAGGGUGCUGCCUCACUGCUGCCCUGGGCUGGGUCCUGCCCUGAGGGUGGCCAGGCCCCUCCAUCCCUCUGCAGGGCAUGGGGCACGGCUCUCUGUCUGAGGCUCCUGGUUCGACGCAGCAGAACGAGCAGCAGGGGUCAGUGUGGGUCAGGGGAGCGGCAAGGCUGGGGGGCCCUGGAGACUGGUGCCUGCCUUUGUCCUUGACAGUGGCCCCCAGCACACUCAGCGUUUAUGGAGAGGGCCGUUGUCUCCCUCAAUGCAUGAUGAAGACUCUGGGGUUAAGGAACCAUUCCCCCAUUUCUUGAUGACAGUUUUCAAACACACAGGAAAGUUGAGGAUUUUGUCACGCAUUUAUCCACCACCUAGAUCCCACCAUCAGGAGC
rnacentral:lncRNA from 1 species